rnacentral:misc_RNA from 1 species
UGAAGUUGCAUAUACAUCUUCAAAUCUGACCAUUGUCAUAGCUGUUGCAUUUAUAUCUCUCAUCAAUGGAUCAGGGAAUGGAUGAGCAACAGCACUUGAAAGCAUUUUGUCGAGUGACUCCAAAGCAAAAGCACACAAUUUUUGAACCUCCGGUCCUGAAGAAAGUCUAUUGACAAUACCCCUACCCAUCUUUACAGGUAAGCCAGUUAACGGACCCACUUCAGCUUCAAGCUUCUUCACAGCUUCAUCUAUAAUCUCAUAAAGGUUUUGAUACUUUUCAGUCUUGUUAAGAAGUUUUCUACUUAAGGACACACGAUAGCAUAAUAUGUCUACCCGCCUGGUAUCCUUGGCCAUCAAUAAUUGUUUUCUCCAGCAUCCAAG